GUGCUUGCUUCGGCAGCACAUAUACUAAAAUUGUAACGAUACAGAGAAGAUUAGCAUGGCCUCUGUGCAAGGAUGACACGCAAAUUCAUGAAGCGUUCCAUAUUUUU
rnacentral:snRNA from 1 species